GCAGGGUGGGCCUGUGCCUGUGUGUGUAUGUGUGUCUACAUUGUAUGCAAGUAUCUCAGUGUGUGUGUGUGUGUGUGUGUGUGUGUGUGUGUGUGUGUGUGCGCCCAUCUGCCUCUCUCUGUCUGCCUGCCUUAGCAUCACUGUGCUACCAUAUUGCCGGAUACCUCUAAAGUAUCAGAGGCCGUGAUUUAAAACGGCUCAGUGGCGACGUAGCGAGUCCGCUGAACGGGGAAGAAAGCGGGAGAACAUGACGCAGCCGAGAGAGGAGCCUCGUGGCCAUUGCUCCCCGACAAUAGCUGAGCAGCCAGCUGGCGUGCCAGGAGGCGUCUUGGUGGACUGUCGCUGGACCAAAACCGGAAAAGAGAAGUUGGUAGUUGGUCGCAUCAUCUGUCGGCGAUGCCAAAAUGCCCCUCCCUCCUCUUCUACAUGCAGGACCUGCAUCCUGUAAUUAGCGCCGGCCAAGACGACAUGUGAUGGGUUUCAAAGAAAUACCAACAAGCCACAGCGUUAUUUUUAAGUACACCAGAAUGAAUAUGUAUUACACUGCGCCAUGGAGAUAGGUCUGCCUGUGGGAGCAGAGAUAACGUCUAAUAAUGUCUCCGAAGGGUUUAUAUUGGAGUUUCGGUAGGUGCUGUUAGCUGCAAAUGCUCACGAAACAGCGCUGGAAUUGAUUGUAUUGUAUGAAUUUUGUAAAUAGUCAAUGGACUUGUAUUUGUAUAUUCCCUUUCACCCGUUUACGCAUUCAUACACUGAUGGCAGAGGCUCCCAUGCAGGGUGCCAUCUGCCCAUGAGGACCCCAAACUAACUCAUUCAUAUUCAUAUAUCCAGAGCACUGCCAAGGACACUAACACCUGUCUCUACAUACUUUGGGGCAGUUUUAUGAAGUUCAGAAGAGAUGCUGUCAUGAAAGUAUUUUAAUUUCAAUUGUUGUUUUCUAAUUAAAUGUCCAAAAUUCGCAAUCAACAUCACAUUAAGGAGUAAUGUC
ensembl:lncRNA